GGGUUGUGAGGUUAAGCGAAUAAGCGUACACGGUGGAUGCCCUGGCAGUCAGAGGCGAUGAAGGACGUGCUAAUCUGCGAAAAGCGUCGGUAAGCUGAUAUGAGGCGUUAUAACCGACGAUGUCCGAAUGGGGAAACCCAGUGUGAUUCGUCACACUAUCAUUAACUGAAUCCAUAGGUUAAUGAGGCGAACCGGGAGAACUGAAACAUCUAAGUACCCCGAGGAAAAGAAAUCAACCGAGAUUCCCUGAGUAGCGGCGAGCGAACGGGGAAGAGCCCAGAGUCUGAAUCAGCGUGUGUAUUAGUGGAACGGUCUGGAAAGUCCGGCGAUACAGGGUGACAGCCCCGUACACGAAAAUGCACAUGCUGUGAGCUCGAUGAGUAGGGCGGGACACGUGUUAUCCUGUCUGAAUAUGGGGGGACCAUCCUCCAAGGCUAAAUACUCCUGACUGACCGAUAGUGAACCAGUACCGUGAGGGAAAGGCGAAAAGAACCCCGGCGAGGGGAGUGAAACAGAACCUGAAACCGUGUACGUACAAGCAGUGGGAGCACCCUUUGGGGUGUGACUGCGUACCUUUUGUAUAAUGGGUCAGCGACUUAUAUUCUGUAGCAAGGUUAACCGUAUAGGGGAGCCGAAGGGAAACCGAGUCUUAACCGGGCGUUAAGUUGCAGGGUAUAGACCCGAAACCCGGUGAUCUAGCCAUGGGCAGGUUGAAGGUUGGGUAACACUAACUGGAGGACCGAACCGACUAAUGUUGAAAAAUUAGCGGAUGACCUGUGGCUGGGGGUGAAAGGCCAAUCAAACCGGGAGAUAGCUGGUUCUCCCCGAAAGCUAUUUAGGUAGCGCCUCGUGAAUUCAUCUCCGGGGGUAGAGCACUGUUUCGGCUAGGGGGCCAUCCCGGCUUACCAACCCGAUGCAAACUACGAAUACCGGAGAAUGUUAUCACGGGAGACACACGGCGGGUGCUAACGUCCGUCGUGAAGAGGGAAACAACCCAGACCGCCAGCUAAGGUCCCAAAGUCAUGGUUAAGUGGGAAACGAUGUGGGAAGGCCCAGACAGCCAGGAUGUUGGCUUAGAAGCAGCCAUCAUUUAAAGAAAGCGUAAUAGCUCACUGGUCGAGUCGGCCUGCGCGGAAGAUGUAACGGGGCUAAACCAUGCACCGAAGCUGCGGCAGCGGACGUAUCACUUAAGACGUCUUACAGAGGCUUAAUGAUUGACGGAGCGUUUUUUGCGACGUCAAUGCGUUCAUUAAAGUCGAGGCGGCUUAAGGAUACGUCCGUUGGGUAGGGGAGCGUUCUGUAAGCCUGCGAAGGUGUGCUGUGAGGCAUGCUGGAGGUAUCAGAAGUGCGAAUGCUGACAUGAGUAACGAUAAAGCGGGUGAAAAGCCCGCUCGCCGGAAGACCAAGGGUUCCUGUCCAACGUUAAUCGGGGCAGGGUGAGUCGACCCCUAAGGCGAGGCCGAAAGGCGUAGUCGAUGGGAAACGGGUUAAUAUUCCCGUACUCGGUGUUACUGCGAUGGGGGAACGGAGAAGGCUAUGUCAUCCGGGCGACGGUCGUCCCGGUUUAAGCGUGUAGGCUGACUUUCCAGGCAAAUCCGGAAAGUUAAGGCUGAGGCGUGAUGACGAGGCACUACGGUGCUGAAGUGACAAAUGCCCUGCUUCCAGGAAAAGCCUCUAAGCUUCAGGUAACAACGAAUCGUACCCGAAACCGACACAGGUGGUCAGGUAGAGAAUACCAAGGCGCUUGAGAGAACCCGGGUGAAGGAACUAGGCAAAAUGGUGCCGUAACUUCGGGAGAAGGCACGCUGACAUGUAGGUGAAGCCCCUGCGGGUGGAGCUGAAGUCAGUCGAAGAUACCAGCUGGCUGCAACUGUUUAUUAAAAACACAGCACUCUGCAAACACGAAAGUGGACGUAUAGGGUGUGACGCCUGCCCGGUGCCGGAAGGUUAAUUGAUGGGGUUAUGGGUAACCAGAAGCUCCUGAUCGAAGCCCCGGUAAACGGCGGCCGUAACUAUAACGGUCCUAAGGUAGCGAAAUUCCUUGUCGGGUAAGUUCCGACCUGCACGAAUGGCGUAAUGAUGGCCAGGCUGUCUCCACCCGGGACUCAGUGAAAUUGAACUCGCUGUGAAGAUGCAGUGUACCCGCGGCAAGACGGAAAGACCCCGUGAACCUUUACUAUAGCUUGACACUGAACAUUGAGCCUUGAUGUGUAGGAUAGGUGGGAGGCUUUGAAGCGUGGACGCAAGUCUGCGUGGAGCCAACCUUGAAAUACCACCCUUUAAUGUUUGAUGUUCUAACCUGGCGCCAUUAUCUGGCGUGGGGACAGUGUCUGGUGGGUAGUUUGACUGGGGCGGUCUCCUCCCAAAGAGUAACGGAGGAGCACGAAGGUUGGCUAAUCCUGGUCGGACAUCAGGAGGUUAGUGCAAUGGCAUAAGCCAGCUUGACUGCGAGCGUGACGGCGCGAGCAGGUGCGAAAGCAGGUCAUAGUGAUCCGGUGGUUCUGAAUGGAAGGGCCAUCGCUCAACGGAUAAAAGGUACUCCGGGGAUAACAGGCUGAUACCGCCCAAGAGUUCAUAUCGACGGCGGUGUUUGGCACCUCGAUGUCGGCUCAUCACAUCCUGGGGCUGAAGUAGGUCCCAAGGGUAUGGCUGUUCGCCAUUUAAAGUGGUACGCGAGCUGGGUUUAGAACGUCGUGAGACAGUUCGGUCCCUAUCUGCCGUGGGCGCUGGAAGACUGAGGGGGGCUGCUCCUAGUACGAGAGGACCGGAGUGGACGCACCACUGGUGUUCGGGUUGUGAUGCCAAUUGCAUUGCCCGGUAGCUAAGUGCGGAAAAGAUAAGUGCUGAAAGCAUCUAAGCACGAAACUUGCCCCGAGAUGAGUCUUCCCUGAGACCCUGAGUCUCCUGAAGGGACGUUGAAGACGACGACGUUGAUAGGCCGGGUGUGUAAGCGCAGCGAUGCGUUGAGCUAACCGGUACUAAUGACCCGAGAGGCUUAACCUUACAACGCCAAAG
rnacentral:rRNA from 1 species